CCUAUCGUGAGUCUUGACUAGAUGGCAGAUCAUAGAUAAAUUAUUAAACCUCAAUAUCAGUCAUAUGAUAGAUUCAAUUAGCUCGAAUCUGACUAUGUUUCUCAUGAAAACUCUUUUCCAUCAAUCACACAGCUCUGGCCAUAGACUUAAAGACUCAAUCUCUCAAAUCCCAUAAGACUACUUUUCUUUGCUAAGAUUGAUAGAUCUUAUCUAAAUACGCA
rnacentral:lncRNA from 1 species